UCCUACGGGAGGCAGCAGUGGGGAAUAUUGCACAAUGGGGGAAACCCUGAUGCAGCCAUGCCGCGUGUGUGAAGAAGGCCUUCGGGUUGUAAAGCACUUUCAGCGAGGAGGAAAGGUUGGUAGCUAAUAACUGCCAGCUGUGACGUUACUCGCAGAAGAAGCACCGGCUAACUCCGUGCCAGCAGCCGCGGUAAUA
rnacentral:rRNA from 1 species